rnacentral:misc_RNA from 1 species
GAUGAAGAACGUAGCGAAAUGCGAUAAGUAGUGUGAAUUGCAGAAUUCAGUGAAUCAUCGAAUCUUUGAACGCACAUUGCGCCCCUUGGUAUUCCGAGGGGCAUGCCUGUUCGAGCGUCAUUAUAACCCCUCAAGCUCAGCUUGGUGUUGGGGCCUGCUGCACUGGCAGCCCUUAAAAUCAGUGGCGGCGCCAUCUGGCUCUAAGCGUAGUAAUUCUUCUCGCUAUGGAGUCCUGGUGGAUGCUUGCCAUCAACCCCCAAUUUUUCUAUGGUUGACAUCGGAUCAGGUAGGGAUACCCGCUGAACUUAAGCAUAUCAAUAAGCGGAGGA